rnacentral:rRNA from 1 species
UACGUAGGGCGCAAGCGUUAUCCGGAAUUAUUGGGCGUAAAGAGCUCGUAGGCGGUUUGUCGCGUCUGCUGUGAAAGACCGGGGCUCAACUCCGGUUCUGCAGUGGGUACGGGCAGACUAGAGUGAUGUAGGGGAGACUGGAAUUCCUGGUGUAGCGGUGAAAUGCGCAGAUAUCAGGAGGAACGCCGAUGGCGAAGGCAGGUCUCUGGGCAUUAACUGACGCUGAGGAGCGAAAGCAUGGGGAGCGAACAGG